AUAAAACUAGAGGGAGAAAAUGUAGAGAGAAGUGAUAUGCUAAAGAUAAAGUUUCACCAUGUUUAUUCCUCACUUAAUCUUUGGUAGAACCACCUAUUUAUAGGCUUACAAGAUAGAAGAUUGAAUACCAUCAUUUACAAUAUACCUAUAGGUUACAAGUACUAAUUACAAAUACUUAGUGCAUAGGUUACAUAAAAUCCAACGGUGGAAUAUUAAGAGGUAUGGUGGUCAUUCACCAACUCAUGCAUUUACAACACUCCCCCUUGGAUGUCCACCAUACAAUGACAUUGUUUCCUCAUUAAAAACCUUGCUUGGAAAACCCAGUGGGACAAAACCAAAGCGAAGGGGAAAAGAGUGAAACUUCUUCUUGAUCAUUGAUAUGGUGUUAGAUGCACUUAUAUUGCCUCGUUAAAACCUUACUAGGAAAAAUCCAGUGGGACAAAAACCUAGUCGAAGGAAAAAAGAGUACAACGCGCAUAUGUCCUGUAUGUAGUAGAAUUGGGAUGCUCCCCUUAAUUGAUAUCUCCCCCUGAUUAAUAUCUCUCCUUCUCUGAUUUGAGCAAUACAAGCAACAUUGUCUUCAUACAUGAUCAUCUAUCACACUAUUCAACCUGCUUUUCACUUUUCAAAUGAUUGAAAUCUUUAGGAGUAUCAACAACUAAUUUAGUAGUUAGAAUAUGUUACAACAAUAUCAAAUUUGAAUUCAAAAUACUCAAACUCUUAGUGUUAACUUUUAAUCAAGAAUAUUGUGGUACUUUAUAUCCUUUAAGAGGUUGCUUCAUCUGAUAUAUCUCAAAUAUUUCAUGAGCUUUGAGGAUUUCCAUGUACCAUAUAGUCUUAAUAAAUAUGCAUUUAACACAUGCUAUAAGUUUCGCGUUAAAGUAACAACUGCACUUAUAGAAAUAUGGAUGCAUUUACGAAUUAAUGAUCGUGCUUACAGGACAUGUCUCUCCCAGGAAACCUUGUCCUUUUAUUAGUGAUCUUAUUUCACUUCACAAACACCAAUUCCUAACCUUCAUACUUAACAUUUGUAAUUUGGUGUUUGAGUUAUAGGUUCAAUAUCCAACCCUUCUUAUUUAGUGAUAAAUGGAAUUGCCUAUUUCCAUUUUUGGCCAAUCACUUAACUUGUUGACAUUCAUGAAACGUGAUUUAAUAUAAUCAUAGCCCUUGAUGAUUGUAGUAGCUACUAAUAAACCAAAUGUAUUAUCGAUUUGUGAUCCCACAAUUCUCAUGUGCAUGCGCAUGCAUAAUUUAUAAGCAUCUCAUUACUUUAGGGUACCAAUGCCUCUUCAGGGGCUUAUGUUGUCACUUAUGGGACAAACACCUCUUUUACAAUGAAUUAUUUAGAAUAUGUGGAUCAUAACCUCCUAUAGAGCGUUAUUUUUUUAUAGGGCUUGAAUUUUUCAAAUAAUCUCCACUUCUAGGGAGUUAAGUUUUUAGAACCUAUAUUUUUGUCAUGCUUCAGGCAUGCCUUAUAUAUAUAGUCACCAUGUUAAUGGAUUGUGAUACGAGAAUAUUAAUCCACGUUAGCAUAUGUACAACUUAUAUAUGCAUUUUCUUGAUGAGACAAAAGUGGAUUGAUUCAACACUAUUUCACGAUGUUCUUCAGGAACUGCCAUUUCUCCCCCUAACGGCGGGAAAAUUAUCUCAAAAUUUAGGAAAAUAAACUCACAGUCGUUAUCAAAUAUGUGACCAUUUUAGUAGGCACAUUCAGUAAAACUGGUGAAGUGAUCCAUAAUUAGAUGUUGUAUAGGCUCACAAAUAUCCCCUUGAAUUAUUUCAGGAAAGAUGGCUCAAAGUCAAUUUUUGACUGAGAUGAUCUUAUGACAACUUUUAUUUAUAAGCAUUCUGUGUAAUGAUAUUUGUUGGACAAGACAAUAUUUUGCGUCUUUAAACGAUGUCUUUACAAAUUUAUAAAAAUCUUAUGUAUAAUUGUGGAACAUGGAUUGCCAAGAUAGUCAUGCCACAACAUAAAAGUUAUUCGGUCAAUGAACUUCUGGUUCAUGAUAUCAUAAUCUUCAACUAAUUUAAUAGUUGUGUAAUAUUGGGGCCUCAUGAACUUUUGGUUCAUGACAUCAUAAACUUCAACUACUUUAAUAGUUGUGUAAUAUUGGGGCCUCAUGAACUUUUGGUUCAUGACAUCGUAAACUUUCUACCCACAAAAGAAAGUCAGAAGUUUCUCCAAUAGACACCUCUGGCUGUCAAUAUUUGGGCGGUAAUACAAAACAUUACCAUUGUAAAACGAAAUUAACUAAUAACCCGACAUAAAUAAAAUAAAAUAAAAUGAGUAAAGUGGUAUAAAUGAGUAAAGUGGCUGUCAAUAUUCACGCCCUCAAUUAUUUGGAAUCAAAGAACUUUAGGUUCUGAUUCAAUCAAAAGGAUUCUAUGUCCUAAUUUAGUUAUAUGAUGAGGAUCGAGGAACUUCGGGCCAUGAUCUUUUGUAUAAUUCAAACUCAUCAUAAUAAUUAAGAUCAUAUUUAAAAUUAAAUAAACAAAGAAAUAAAAAAAAAUGACAUUAUAUUCAUGUGUAAUAAGAAUAAGAAUUUUUUUUCUUAAACGAGCAUGAUGAAGUCUGAUGGUGAGUACAAAGAAACUCUAUACCAUGUGAUGACUCUAGUUCAUAUAAGAAGAAUGAAAAUUCAGAGAAAGAAAACAUACCAAGAGCUGUAGUGCUGAUAACGUGUUAUAAAACUAGAGGGAGAAAAUGUAGAGAGAAGUGAUAUGCUAAAGAUAAAGCUUCACCAUGUUUAUUCCUCACUUAAUCUUUGGUAGAACCACCUAUUUAUAGGCUUACAAGAUAGAAGAUUGAAUACCAUCAUUUACAAUAUACCUAUAGGUUACAAGUACUAAUUACAAAUACUUAGUGCAUAGGUUACAUAAAAUCCAACGGUGGAAUAUUAAGAGGUAUGGUGGUCAUUCACCAACUCAUGCAUUUACAACAUAUAAUUAAUUAUAGAAAGUAGUUACAAAACAUGAUUACAAGGCCUGAGACCACAUAGAUGACAGAGGCAGUACAUUUGAACCAGAGAGGGAAUGGGAUUGCAAUGCAAAUGAGGAAGGCCGUGAUUCCAAAAAAGACCCCAAAAGAAUGGAAGAGAUCGACUGUUAUUCUUGGACAGUUGUUGUUGUGAAUAAAUUUGCUUACCAUGAUGCAAGCAAAGGAAAACAGGACGGUGAGUCCGAGAAAUCGAAAGGUUAAAGGGAGCUGGUUGGAGUGAACUUGGACGGGUGUGAGAGCCAUGGCAACGGCUGUUGACAAGCAAUACACCACAAUAAUCUUUUCCCAAUCUAAGUUUUGGUACUUAGUUGGCUUAGGCCUAGCUGCUGGUGCUGGUGCUGGUACAGAUGGUUGUGGUUCGGCUUCGGGGGCAGCUGAAGUACUUUCUGGGUCAUCAAAAACAUCAUCAUGGUGAUGAUCAAAACUGCGGCUAAUAAUGAGUAUUAUUUUCUGGAGGAAUACCUUUAGGGACUCAUAAUAAGAAGAAGAAGAAUGAGUGGAAGUAUUUCUCAUUUUUCUGCAAUGGCUGUGGGAUAUUGUAGGUACAGAGAGGGAAGGACUUUAUAUAGCUGGGGUAUAUUGUAGGCUUGAGUAUAAUACGUGUCCCUUUGGUUCUUGGGGCCUAAUCUCCCUCUUUGUUUGGUUCUAUUUUGUUUGAUCUCCCUCUAUUUUGUUUGGUUCUUGGGGGCUAAAGUACACACUCACCAAUGACGCCAUGUAGUUUGUUUCAUUCUUGCUUUUAGUCAAUGCUGAUGAGCAUCCGGAACACAUAUCUAUUCUCGUGUUUCCAUUGGCCAAUAAUCAUGUGGGCAAUGGAUUUGUCGACUUGGCUUGGCUUGGCUUCAAUUACGUCAUAUAGAUUUUUUGACACUUUCUUCGCACCAGCACGCGUCUCUCUAUUUUCUUUCUUCUUUCUGUGUUUUUUUUUUUUUUGGGUUUAGGGUUUAGGUAAAUGCUCAGCGCCAGAAUAUUGUCUCUUUUUCUUGAUUAUUUUGUUUUUGGUCACUGCGCAGCGCCAGAUUAUUUAUUAUGUGUACUUUUCUUAUUACUCACCAUCCACCUUUCUUAGAGCAUCCACAAUCAUGCUCUCCAUUUUUUAGUUAAAUUUUAGCUAAAAACAUAUAAAAGUUAUUUUAGGAGCUCUCUAUAAAUUUAAACUCCAAGCAUGCUCUCUACUUUAGGAGAAAUUAUACUGUGAUACGGUACUACCACGUGGCA
rnacentral:lncRNA from 1 species